rnacentral:lncRNA from 1 species
UUUGGAGUAAUGUCUAAAACCCUCUAAACAGUCACGUGUCUGCAAGUCCUCGAACUAUAACUUUUCAGGGCUAAAACCCCCUGACUUAAAUAUUUGUUGGCAUGUGUAUUUCACGCUCCUAAAACACUUUUAAAAUGUGCCAAGUGGCACAAUGCAUGUCAUUUGAACUUAAAGUUUGUUAUAAUAGGAUAAGAACGGGAAUAGUAUAUAUAGAAUCCUACAUGAAAAACGAUUGUAAUGUAGUGCCCUACUUGAAAAAAGAUCGGAAUGUAGAGUUUGUAAAUAGAGUCUCAGUGUAAUAAUGUAGAUACACAAUCAAUAACAUUCUUCUCUCAUAUUUCUCACAUGAUAUCAGAGCCUCUAUGAUCUUGGCAGAGAAUCAGAAAAAAGCUUCAACGACCGGCGGGCGGUUAUAACUCAUGUAACCGUCCGUCUGGCCAAUGAUUAUGUUAGCAAAAAUUGGGACAAUAUAUGCAUGAAAAACAAUCAUGUUGAGAAGGACUCAUUUGAGAAGCAUACGGGACAGAGAAAGUAGCCACUCUACUUUCUUAGAUCUUACUGCAUAGCACCAUGCAUCUUUUCGGUGACUACUUUCACAAAUCUGAUUUGCGUAGCACCGUGCAUAUUUCCGAACUAUGUUCUCACAUUUGAUUUGAGUAGCACCAUGCAUCUUUGCGUACUACUUUCUCAUAUCUAAGUUGCGUAGCACUGUGCGCCUUUUCGGUCUCCUCGAAUCUUAUUUGCGUAGUUCCGUGCGUCUUUCUAGUGACUCCUCAGGUCUGAUUUACAUAGUUUCACUUUUCUUUUAGUGUUGAGCGAAAACCAACACCCCUAAGAGGUCCAGUGUCUCCCUACGACCAAACGCCAACCAGCGCCGAUGUGAAUCGACCUCCCACGAGAACGUCACCUCCGGAGAGAUCCAACCACGCAUAGGCGCCUGAUACAGUUCCAACAAGUUUUUCG